rnacentral:rRNA from 1 species
UACGAAGGUGGCAAGCGUUAUUCGGAUUUACUGGGCGUACAGGGAGCGUAGGCGGUUUGGUAAGCCCUCUGUGAAAUCUUCAGGCUUAACCUGGAAAAGUCGGGGGGGACUGCUGGGCUAGAGGACGGGAGAGGAGCGCGGAAUUCGCGGUGUAGCGGUGAAAUGCGUAGAGGUCGGGAGGAAGGCCGGUGGCGAAGGCGGCGCUCUGGAACGUUUCUGACGCUGAGGCACGAAGGCCAGGGGAGCAAACGGG